CGCAACUCUGGCUGCAGUGUCUCUGUUGUGCAAUAAGUGGGCAGACAGUAAGUGACUGGCUCAUGAUGGCUCAAUUUCCACUGUUCUGUGGGCUUUGGGUAUAGAACCGAGCCAGAUACUCUGACUACACUUCACUACAAUGUUGAUAUUAUUCCCAUUGAAUAAAACCUGAGUUUCUUUGAGUACAUUUUUGUUGUUGCCUUUAAUCAAUGUGUCUUGUUUAUUGGGUUUGAGGCUGCUAUAAGCACAUAGUUCCCAUCAGUUACACCAAAAACAAAAAGGAUUAGUUGUGUUAUGUUUCUGAAAUGAGCAGCUUCAGAAUUGUUGUAUAUGUAGUUGGUCAUAAAUCUUUUUACUGCAACUAUUCACUUCAAAUAGUCCUGUUUAUUUUCUAAAAGAAAAUCAAUGUGCAGUACAUCCAUAUUUGAAGCUGAUAAGACACCUUAAGAGGCACAUAGGGAGUAGGACAAACACUCAGUUAACAUUUGGCCUUGUUUGUUUCCCACUGAUUAAGGUCUUCUUCAUAUAGAGGCCCAGGGCGCACCCCCCCUCCCUCUGAUGGACCAGAUCAACCCGCGGAGCAGCAGCACAGUUACUCGGAGAGGGAGGAUCUGGAGGGAUGGAGGUUCACAACAGAGGACUUUUUGGAAGUUGGUAAAAGAUGAAAUGAUUGUUGAAUUUGAAAAUGAACAUAAGCGGACAUCUAAUUGUGAUUUGUGUUUCCAUCCAUCCAUCCGCUUGUCUGUGUACAUUUUUGCAGUUCACAUAAACACAUGAACAACUGAAAGGCAGCCACCAGUCUUCAAUCAUAUAAAACAGGACUGUGUGCUCUAAAAGGAUCAGUAAAGCUGAUCAAGUUAUAUCUGCUCCCAAUCUUUGACUUUUGACUUCUUCUGAUACUGACACCAGCUGCCCGGUUUACAUGAAUGCACUUUUAUUCACAAUAGUUGAAAAGCAAUCGUUUGAACCAGUUUACGUUUAUUCAUGGAUUAGAAGUUCAUUCAAGUUAAUGUCCGAUCAUCAUUUACAACUCUGUUCAGGUUGAUUUAAAUACAUUAUCAAUAUCAGAUCACGUUUCAGCGCUACUGUAAAUAUGCAUUAUUUCAUCCAUUGUUGGUAUCUUGUCUCUGCUUCACAUGGAGGUUCAUUUAAACACAGGAAACAACAAAGUUCCACCGAUAUUUACAGUUGUACAAAAAUCACACCAUGUCAUAUUUGCCGUUCUGCCUCUACAGCGAUAGACAACAGAGUAUUCUAUCAAACUAUUUGAAAAACUAACUUUACUCACAGAUUAUUUUACAAAUAAAGUUAUAGGCAGUGCCCUGAGAAUAGUAUGUCUAAACAGAUGAAUGUGCUUCUCAAAAUAAUGCAUUGGAAAACAAAAGAAAAAAAUAAAGUUUUCUUCAUCUGCAGUU